UUACAGGUCUGGCAAUUGGAAUGAGAACAAUUUAAAUCCCUUAUCGAGUAUCAAUUGGAGGGCAAGUCUGGUGCCAGCAGCCGCGGUAAUUCCAGCUCCAAUAGCGUAUAUUAAAGUUGUUGCAGUUAAAAAGCUCGUAGUUGGAUUUCUGGCAGGAGUGACUGACCACAAACUCUGUUUGUGAGUUGUGUCAUUCUGGCCAUCCUUGGUAAGAUCCUUUUUGGCAUUAAGUUGUCGGGAAGGGGAUGACCAUCGUUUACUGUGAAAAAAUUAGAGUGUUUAAAGCAGGCUUAUGCCGUUGAAUAUAUUAGCAUGGAAUAAUAAGAUAGGACCUCGGUACUAUUUUGUUGGUUUGAGAACCAAGGUAAUGAUGAAUAGGGACAGUUGGGGGUAUUCGUAUUCAGUUGUCAGAGGUGAAAUUCUUAGAUUUACGGAAGACGAACUACUGCGAAAGCAUUUACCAAGGAUGUUUUCAUUAAUCAAGAACGAAAGUAUGGGGAUCGAAGAUGAUUAGAUACCAUCGUAGUCUAUACCAUAAACUAUGCCGACUCAGGAUUGUC
rnacentral:rRNA from 1 species